AAAGAAUAGGGGUCUUUGUUCUUGGAACGAUACAGAGAAGAUUAGCAUGGCCCCUGCCCAAGGAUGACACGCAAAUUCAUGAAGCAUUCCAUAUGAGC
rnacentral:snRNA from 1 species